rnacentral:rRNA from 1 species
CCUACGGGUGGCUGCAGUAAGGAAUAUUGGACAAUGGGGGCAACCCUGAUCCAGCCAUGCCGCGUGAAGGAUGAAGGCCCUAUGGGUUGUAAACUUCUUUUAUACGGGACAAAACCCCUCUAUGCGUAGAGGGUUGAUGGUACUGUAAGAAUAAGCAUCGGCUAACUUCGUGCCAGCAGCCGCGGUAAUACGAAGGAUGCAAGCGUUAUCCGGAAUUAUUGGGUUUAAAGGGUGCGUAGGCGGACCUGUAAGUCAGUGGUGAAAGCCUGUUGCUCAACAACAGAACUGCCAUUGAUACUGCAAGUCUUGAGUACAGUUGAGGUAGGCGGAAUGUGUCAUGUAGCGGUGAAAUGCUUAGAUAUGACACAGAACACCGAUUGCGAAGGCAGCUUGCUAAGCUGUAACUGACGCUGAUGCACGAAAGCGUGGGGAGCAAACAGGAUUAGAUACCCUAGUAGUC